rnacentral:rRNA from 1 species
UACGAAGGGGGCUAGCGUUGCUCGGAAUCAUUGGGCGUAAAGGGCGCGUAGGCGGCCAUGCGUGUCUUCCGUGAAAUCCCUCGGCUUAACUGAGGACGUGCGGAAGAAACUGCAAGGCUCGAGUCCGGGAGAGGGGGGUGGAAUUCCCAGUGUAGCGGUGAAAUGCGCAGAUAUCGGGAGGAACACCAGUAGCGAAGGCGGCUCGCUGGGCCAUUCCUGACGCUGAGACGCGAAAGCUAGGGGAGCGAACAGG